rnacentral:misc_RNA from 1 species
GAUUAAGAACGUAGCGAAAUGCGAUAAGUAAUGUGAAUUGCAGAAUCCAGUGAAUCAUCGAAUCUUUGAACGCACAUUGCGCCCGCCAGCAUUCUGGCGGGCAUGCCUGUUCGAGCGUCAUUUCAACCCUCGACCUCCCUUUGGGGAAGUCGGCGUUGGGGACCGGCAGCACACCGCCGGCCCUGAAAUGGAGUGGCGGCCCGUCCGCGGCGACCUCUGCGUAGUAAUCCAACUCGCACCGGAACCCCGACGCGGCCACGCCGUAAAACACCCAACUUCUGAACGUUGACCUCGAAUCAGGUAGGACUACCCGCUGAACUUAAGCAUAUCAAUAAGCGGAGGA